rnacentral:rRNA from 1 species
GACGAACGCUGGCGGCGUGCUUAACACAUGCAAGUCGAGCGGGAUCCAACCGGUGGCAACACCGGGGAAGAUCUAGCGGCGAACGGGUGAGUAACACGUGAGCAACCUGCCCCGAAGACUGGGAUAACACCGGGAAACCGGUGCUAAUACCGGAUGUCCUCCUCUGGUCGCAUGGCCUAGGGAGGAAACGAAUUUUGCUUCGGGAGGGGCUCGCGGGCUAUCAGCUUGUUGGUGAGGUAACGGCNCACCAAGGCGACGACGGCUAGCUGGUCUGAGAGGACGACCAGCCACACUGGGACUGAGACACGGCCCAGACUCCUACGGGAGGCAGCAGUGGGGAAUCUUGCGCAAUGGGCGAAAGCCUGACGCAGCAACGCCGCGUGGGGAUGAAUGCC